UACAGAGGGGGCAAGCGUUGUUCGGAAUUACUGGGCGUAAAGGGCGCGUAGGCGGCCUGUUAAGUCGAACGUGAAAUCCCCGGGCUCAACCCGGGAACUGCGUCCGAUACUGGUUGGCUUGAAUCCGGGAGAGGGAUGCGGAAUUCCAGGUGUAGCGGUGAAAUGCGUAGAUAUCUGGAGGAACACCGGUGGCGAAGGCGGCAUCCUGGACCGGGCAUUGACGCUGAGGCGCGAAAGCCAGGGGAGCAAAACGGG
rnacentral:rRNA from 1 species